rnacentral:rRNA from 1 species
ACGGAAGGCAGCAGUAAGGAAUCUUGCACAAUGGGGGAAACCCUGAUGCAGCAACGCCGCGUGAUUGAUGAAGGCCUUCGGGUUGUAAAAAUCUGAUCUAAGGGAAGAAACAAAUGACGGUACCUUAGGAGAAAGCCCCGGCUAACUACGUGCCAGCAGCCGCGGUAAUACGUAGGGGGCAAGCGUUAUCCGGAAUUAUUGGGCGUAAAGAGUGCGUAGGUGGUUACCUAGCGCAAGGUUUAAUCUUGAGGCUCAACCUCAUUCUGCCUUGCGAACUGGGCUACUUGAGUGCAGGAGGGGAAAGCGGAAUUCCUAGUGUAGCGGUGAAAUGCGUAGAUAUUAGGAAGAACACCGGUGGCGAAGGCGGCUUUCUGGACUGUAACUGACACUGAGGCACGAAAGCGUGGGGAGCAAACAGGAUUAGAUACCCUGGUA